UACAGAGGUCCCGAGCGUUGUUCGGAUUCACUGGGCGUAAAGGGUGCGUAGGUGGUUAGGUAAGUCCGAUGUGAAAUCUCCAGGCUCAACCUGGAAAUGGCAUUGGAUACUAUUUAGCUUGAGGAGUGGAGGGGGGACUGGAAUUCUCGGUGUAGCAGUGAAAUGCGUAGAUAUCGAGAGGAACACCAGUGGCGAAGGCGGCUCACUGGCCCGAUACUGACGCUGAGGCACGAAAGCGUGGGGAGCAAACAGG
rnacentral:rRNA from 1 species